rnacentral:rRNA from 1 species
GAUGAACGCUGGCGGCGUGCCUAAUACAUGCAAGUCGAGCGAACAGACGAGGAGCUUGCUCCUCUGACGUUAGCGGCGGACGGGUGAGUAACACGUGGAUAACCUACCUAUAAGACUGGGAUAACUUCGGGAAACCGGAGCUAAUACCGGAUAAUAUAUUGAACCGCAUGGUUCAAUAGUGAAAGACGGUUUUGCUGUCACUUAUAGAUGGAUCCGCGCCGCAUUAGCUAGUUGGUAAGGUAACGGCUUACCAAGGCAACGAUGCGUAGCCGACCUGAGAGGGUGAGCGGCCACACUGGAACUGAGACACGGUCCAGACUCCUACGGGAGGCAGCAGUAGGGAAUCGUCCGCAAUGGGCGAAAGCCUGACGGAGCAACGCCGCGUGAGUGAUGAAGGUCUUCGGAUCGUAACACUCUGUUAUUAGGGAAGAACAAAUGUGUAGGUAACUAUGCACGUCUUGACGGUACCUAAUCAGAAAGCCACGGCUAACUACGUG